rnacentral:rRNA from 1 species
CGCGUAGGUGGUAGUGCAAGUCUGAUGUGGAAUCUUAGGGCUUAACCCUAAAAUUGCAUUGGAAACUGUAUUACUUGAGUCAGUGAGGGGAGGGUAGAAUUCCUGGUGUAGCGGUGAAAUGCGUAGAUAUCAGGAGGAAGGCCUGUGGCGAAGGCGGCCCUCUGGCGCUGAACUGACACUGAGGCGCGAAAGCGUGGGUAGCAAACAGGAUUAGAUACCCUGGUAGUCCACGCCCUAAACGGUGGAUACUAGGUGUAGGGCUCGUAAGGGUUCUGUGCCGAAGCGAAAGCAUUAAGUAUCCCGCCUGGGGAGUACGGCCGCAAGGUUGAA